rnacentral:rRNA from 1 species
UACGGAGGGUGCAAGCGUUGUUCGGAAUUACUGGGCGUAAAGCGUGCGUAGGCGGUUUACUAAGUCAGGCGUGAAAGCCCCGAGCUUAACUUGGGAAUUGCGUUUGAUACUGGUAGACUAGAGGACUGGAGAGGAGAAUGGAAUUCCUAGUGUAGAGGUGAAAUUCGUAGAUAUUAGGAAGAACACCAGUGGCGAAGGCGAUUCUCUGGCCAGUUACUGACGCUGAGGUACGAAAGCGUGGGGAGCAAACAGG